AUGGUGGAGCUUAUUAUUGAGUAUGCACCAUGCCUUGAAAGAUUGAUCCAACUAGGUAAAGAGGGUCCAAGAACAAGUAGGGUCAUCGCCGCACCAAAAUUGGCAGUGUUGGGCUACCUGACUCCCAGAAUCUCCGAAUUUGAGCUUGGAACCAUAAUUGCUAAGGAAAUUAUCUCCAUCAGCUUGACUACUUCAGUGCGCACAGUGAGGAUCUUGGUUCUAGAUUCUAUUGGCCCCAAUCUGGAUGUUGUUGUUGGAUUCCUUAGAUACUUUCCCUGCAUAGAGAAGUUGUACAUCCAGUCACAUCUCAGGAUGGGUAUGAAAAAUGUGCGACAAUAUGACACACUUGAUCCUAUUGAAUGCCUUGAACUCCAUCUCAGAGCAAUAGUAUUGAAAACCUAUGAAGGCAAGAGACCAGAUGUUAACUUUGCCAAGUUCUUUGUCCUGAAUGCGAAGGUACUUGAGGUAAUGAAAUUUGGUGUUUGCGGUAAUACCUGCAAUGAGAAAUGGAUGGCUAAUCAGCACAGGCGACUACAGCUGGAUAACAAAGCUUCAAGAGAUGCGCAAUUUGAAUUUAGAAGAGAUUAUGAUAGUUACAGUUUUCAGUAUAACAAGCACAUACAUGAUAUGUGGGUGCUUGAUCCAUUUGACCGCUCAUUAUGUAAAUGUUGUCAGCUGGUUUCAUAG
rnacentral:rRNA from 1 species